rnacentral:rRNA from 1 species
AUAUCAAUAAGCGGAGGAAAAGAAACUAACAAGGAUUCCCCUAGUAACGGCGAGUGAAGCGGGAUGAGCUCAAGCUUAAAAUCUCCGUGCAAGUUUUGCGCGGCGAAUUGUAGUCUAUAGAGGCGUGGUCAGCGUGGGCACUUGGGGCAAGUUCCUUGGAAGAGGACAGCAUGGAGGGUGAUACUCCCGUUCAUCCCUGAGUUGCUCAUGCGUACGACCCGUUUUCUUUGAGUCGCGUUGUUUGGGAAUGCAGCGCAAAGUAGGUGGUAAAUUCCAUCUAAAGCUAAAUAUUGGUGCGAGACCGAUAGCGAACAAGUACCGUGAGGGAAAGAUGAAAAGAACUUUGAAAAGAGAGUUAAAGAGUACCUGAAACUGCUGAAAGGGAACCGAAUCGUUUCCAGUGUCUAUAAUCCGUGGCAUAUUUCAUUGGCGAGUGUGUGCGUGCGUGUGCUGUGGCAGUGGCUUUUUUGGCUGCGCUCGGUGUGUGUGCUGUGUGUGCUUGCUGGUGCCCUGUGCUGCGGUGGGACGUCAAGGUCAGUUCGUAUGCUGCGGGAAAUGGCUGCCGAGGAGGUAGGGCUUACGCUUGCGUUUGUCUGUUAUAUCUUGGUGGACGAGUCGUCGCGGUUGGGACUGAGGUGCCUACAACGUGCUUUUGAGUGGGUUUGUGUCUCCGUGUGCGCCGUGUGCGGAUAGCUUGCUAUGCGUGUGUGGUUGUGUGUGGAUUGAUGCGGGCUUUAACUUGUUGCCGUUCGGGACGUUGACGAAAUGGAGCGAUCCGACCCGUCUUGAAACACGGACCAAGGAGUCUUUCAUGUGU